AUGGCUGAUACUGACAGUCGAAUCUGUGAACUGUUGAUGUUGUUCGCGGUGGUGAUGAUGUGCAUGAAGGGUCUUAGUGACAGAGCGACUAGCUUCACGGAGGAGAUGUAUUGUUCGUCAACGGUUUCACAUCGUUUCAUUUUUCUUCUUCCUGAACUUAGUAGUCUUGCUUAUAACCUGCAGAUUGUUAGAAUAAUAACUAGAAGAAAUUAUGGCAUGUUAAUGUUGUAUUGA